rnacentral:rRNA from 1 species
UACGAAGGGGGCUAGCGUUGUUCGGAAUUACUGGGCGUAAAGCGCACGUAGGCGGACUGUUAAGUCAGGGGUGAAAUCCUGGAGCUCAACUCCAGAACUGCCUUUGAUACUGAUGGUCUCGAGUCCGGAAGAGGUGAGUGGAAUUCCGAGUGUAGAGGUGAAAUUCGUAGAUAUUCGGAGGAACACCAGAGGCGAAAGCGGCAUCCUGGGCCAAGCCUGACGCUGAGGCGCGAAAGCGUGGGGAGCAAACGGG